rfam:Brachypodium distachyon strain Bd21 chromosome 1, whole genome shotgun sequence.
UAUGUACUCCCUCCGUCCCGAAAUAAGUGACGUGGAUUUGUACAAGGGAUUUAUAUAGAUUCUAAUACAAAUCCACGUCACUUAUUUUGGGACGGAGGGAGUACUAU